UACAUGCAAGUCGAACGAGUUCUCGUUGAUGAUCGGUGCUUGCACCGAGAUUCAACAUGGAACGAGUGGCGGACGGGUGAGUAACACGUGGGUAACCUGCCCUUAAGUGGGGGAUAACAUUUGGAAACAGAUGCUAAUACCGCAUAGAUCCAAGAACCGCAUGGUUCUUGGCUGAAAGAUGGCGUAAGCUAUCGCUUUUGGAUGGACCCGCGGCGUAUUAGCUAGUUGGUGAGGUAAYGGCUCACCAAGGCGAUGAUACGUAGCCGAACUGAGAGGUUGAUCGGCCACAUUGGGACUGAGACACGGCCCAAACUCCUACGGGAGGCAGCAGUAGGGAAUCUUCCACAAUGGACGCAAGUCUGAUGGAGCAACGCCGCGUGAGUGAAGAAGGCUUUCGGGUCGUAAAACUCUGUUGUUGGAGAAGAAUGGUCGGCAGAGUAACUGUUGUCGGCGUGACGGUAUCCAACCAGAAAGCCACGGCUAACUACGUGCCAGCAGCCGCGGUAAUACGUAGGUGGCAAGCGUUAUCCGGAUUUAUUGGGCGUAAAGCGAGCGCAGGCGGUUUUUUAAGUCUGAUGUGAAAGCCCUCGGCUUAACCGAGGAAGCGCAUCGGAAACUGGGAAACUUGAGUGCAGAAGAGGACAGUGGAACUCCAUGUGUAGCGGUGAAAUGCGUAGAUAUAUGGAAGAACACCAGUGGCGAAGGCGGCUGUCUGGUCUGUAACUGACGCUGAGGCU
rnacentral:rRNA from 1 species